rnacentral:lncRNA from 1 species
UACACAACUUUAUGUACAGCCCCCUCUCACAAUGUGAGGAGUUUCUACAUGAAGAUUAUAUUUGUGUUCCCUUCAGGGGUGUAUGUGUGAUUGCUUUGCACCCAGCACAACUCAUAAAACAAAUCCAAGUGCUCAGAGGACCAAUCGUUGUCGGCCAUCUCUCUCCUUACAUUCUUGAAGAAGAGAAUUUUGGGGAAAAAAUCGCAUUCAGUAUCCAUUAUAUUUUGUUUACUUCAGUAUUUCUAUCACUGAUCAAGAAUAUUGAAUCAGUUAUUGACUAAAUCCUAGUUUCUAGGAUAAUCUUGGGACAGUUCUUGUAAAAUCCCUUCCUUUUCCACAAAAAGAAAAUCAACCUUGGGUUCGAUUCUGGGGGAACCAAGAUCUUCGCCAGGAAGCCGUGAUCGCCAGUUCCAGAGAAUAAUUUCAAAUUUCAAGCAAGUUUAUUUGAAAAAAAAUGCACAUGGAUAAAGAUUUGAUAUUCUUGAACAGUAGAAGACUUUUAAGGGUUUGAAAACAACCCAGGCGUGGGGAGGAUUUAAAGAAACAGAUUUUGCAUGACCUGUCGAUUGGUAUGAAUAUAUGGAUUUGCCAUUGUUCACUUUGCUGAUUGCUAGUUCUGGGUUUUUCGUUGGUUUCUUUCCACUCAUUGUGGAGUCUCAACAAAUGUGAAGCCUCCUCUGCCACACGUUUUCCACCCUCCACCUCCAUCGCAACCGCUCGUUUCCCUACAAACUCCACGCACUCCGCCUCCACCAUCUACGUUCUUGCCUUCUCCACUACCUCCAUCUGAUUCCCUGUGGCUUCCCCAACCUUCUACACACCCACCUCUGCCCCCUACAAAGAAAGGCCUCCGGCCCCCUCCUCCAAAGAAUGCAACCUCGAAGCAUGGGGAUCACAAUCACCAGGAUUCACUUAAAAAUUUGACACCCGCGAAGACGAAGAAACUUAACGAGGGGAAGAAAAUUGGCUUGAUAUUUGUGGGAGUUGUUGCCAUCUUGCAAGUUUUUGUGGUGGCAUUCUUGUUGAUCAGGAGAAGACAAAUUGUAAAGGCCAAAGGUGACUAUUAAAUGAAACAGAACAGCACAUUCCAUACAAAUCACAUAAUCUGUAAUUUUUCUGUUUAUUUCUCUUUUCGUGGCGAAUAAUACUCUUUUACUGUAGAUAUCCACUGGAUUGAGUCUUGCAAUUACGACAAUGAAUGAUGAUACAUCAUGAGAUUUGAAAAUUAAUCAAAGUUGAGUAUCUACGUCUUGGUCACAGAACAAAUGAAUUUGUAUACUUCCUUAAGUAUUAUUUUUGUUAUAGCUUAUCAUUUGUUUAUUCACUAAAAUAUCAAAAUGGAAGGUGUUUUUUUCUUUGAUAUCAUAUUGUGUAUAAUAUAUC